rnacentral:rRNA from 1 species
AUGUACUUCCCGCCUGCAUUCUUCGAUGUUAUGGUGCAUCUGCUGGUCCAUAUUGUGGAGGAUAUCAUCCAACUCGGGCCGAUGUUCCGGUACAGAAUGAUGCCAUUCGAAAGGAUGAAUGGUGUCAUCAAAGGAUAUGUUCGCAACAUGUCAUGUCCAGAGGGAAGCAUAGCCAGGGGCUUUCUGACCGAAGAGUGCAUCUCCUACUGCAUGAAUUAUCUAGACAUCGAGAACCCCGUUGGUUUGCCCGUCAACAGGCACCUCGGCAGGCUCGCUGGAUGGGGUCACCGUGAGGGUCGCCGCGAAAUGCAUGUCGACUUCUAG